rnacentral:tRNA from 1 species
GCCGACUUAGUUCGGUAAUCAGAGCAGGUGGCUUGUAACAUCAGGUCACCAGUUCGAUUCCGGUAGUCGGCACCA